rnacentral:rRNA from 1 species
UACGUAGGUGGCAAGCGUUGUCCGGAAUUAUUGGGCGUAAAGCGCGCGCAGGCGGUCCUAUAAGUCUGAUGUGAAAGCCCCCGGCUCAACCGGGGAGGGUCAUUGGAAACUGUAGGACUUGAGUACUGGAGAGAAGAGUGGAAUUCCACGUGUAGCGGUGAAAUGCGUAGAGAUGUGGAGGAACACCAGUGGCGAAGGCGACUCUUUGGCCAGAAACUGACGCUGAGGCGCGAAGGCCAGGGGAGCAAACGGG